rnacentral:misc_RNA from 1 species
AUGUGAAUUCUGAUCCAUCUAUUCUUGGUGGAACUAAGCUAAGAAUGAAAAUGCAGGACACAAAUGACAGUGGAUUUCUGGGCAUUAUAGAGGCUUUAAGGUUCAUGGAAACUGAUACUGUGGCUAUAGUUGGCCCUCAGUCCUCCGUGACAGCCCAUGUAGUAUCCUUUAUUGCCGCUGAGCUUCAAGUGCCUCUAUUAUCAUAUUCUGCUACGGAC